rnacentral:rRNA from 1 species
UGGGGAAUAUUGGACAAUGGGCGAAAGCCUGAUCCAGCCAUGCCGCGUGUGUGAAGAAGGCCUUAUGGUUGUAAAGCACUUUAAGCGAGGAGGAGGGUACUGGUAUUAAUACUACCAGGUACUGGACGUUACUCGCAGAAUAAGCACCGGCUAACUCUGUGCCAGCAGCCGCGGUAAUACAGAGGGUGCGAGCGUUAAUCGGAAUUACUGGGCGUAAAGCGCGCGUAGGUGGUUCGUUAAGUUGAAUGUGAAAGCCCCGGGCUCAACCUGGGAACUGCAUCCAAAACUGGCGAGCUAGAGUAGGGCAGAGGGUGGUGGAAUUUCCUGUGUAGCGGUGAAAUGCGUAGAUAUAGGAAGGAACACCAGUGGCGAAGGCGACCACCUGGGCUCAUACUGACACUGAGGUGCGAAAGCGUGGGGAGCAAACAGG